rnacentral:rRNA from 1 species
UACGGGGGGGAGCAAGCGUUGUUCGGAUUUACUGGGCGUAAAGGGCGCGUAGGCGGUCAGCACAAGUCAGUUGUGAAAUCUCCGGGCUUAACUCGGAAAGGUCAACCGAUACUGUGCGACUAGAGUGCAGAAGGGGCAACUGGAAUUCUCGGUGUAGCGGUGAAAUGCGUAGAUAUCGAGAGGAACACCUGCGGCGAAGGCGGGUCCCUGGGACGGUACUGACGCUGAGACGCGAAAGCGUGGGGAGCGAACAGG